UCCGAGUUGACCCCGGCAGUCUCCCACGAGUCCCCGGCAUAACCCGCUGGCAACAUGGGAUAAGGGUUGCGCUCGUUGCGGGACUUAACCCAACAUCUCACGACACGAGCUGACGACAGCCAUGCACCACCUAUCGCAGGCCCUUUCGGACACCACAUCUCUGUGGCUUUUCCUGCGUAGUUCAACCCAGGUAAGGUGGGGAUGACGUGUCGUUACCUUA
rnacentral:misc_RNA from 1 species